GCAGGCACAGUGGCGCAUGCCUGUAAUCCCAGCAGCUCAGGAUGCUGAGACAGGAGGAUCACAGGUUCAAAGACAGCCUCAGCAAAAGCAAAGAGCUAAGCAACUCGGUGAGACCCUGUCUCUA
rnacentral:sRNA from 1 species